CAAUAGCGUAUAUUAAAGUUGUUGCAGUUAAAAAAGCUCGUAGUUUGAUUUCUGGACGGGCGCCAACACCCGCUUGUUAGUGUGGAGGCGGCACCCGCCCAUCCUUCUGUUAACGCCGCCGGCAUUUGUUUGCUGGUGGCGGGCUCAGAUAUUUUACCUUGAGAAAAUUAGAGUGUUUCAGGCAGGCUUGCGCCUAGAUACAUUAGCAUGGAAUAAUAAGAUAGGACUUUGGAACUAUUUUGUUGGUUUGCGUUACAAAGUAAUGAUUAAUAGGGACAGUUGGGGGUAUUCGUAUUUCGUUGUCAGAGGUGAAAUUCUUGGAUUUCCGAAAAGACGAACUACUGCGAAAGCAUUUACCAAGGAUGUUUUCAUUAAUCAAGAACGAAAGUUAGGGGAUCG
rnacentral:rRNA from 1 species